rnacentral:rRNA from 1 species
UACGUAGGGAGCGAGCGUUUGUCCGGAUUCAUUGGGCGUAAAGAGCUCGUAGGCGGCUUGAUUAGUCGGAUGUGAAACCUCCAGGCUCAACCUGGAGUCGCCAUCCGAUACUGUCAUGGCUAGAGUCCGGUAGGGGCCCACGGAAUUCCUGGUGUAGCGGUGAAAUGCGCAGAUAUCAGGAGGAACGACCGGUGGCGAAGGCGGUGGGCUGGGCCGGCACUGACGCUGGAGGAGCGAAAGCGUGGGGAGCGAACAGG